AAAAUGCGAUAAGUAAUGUGAGUUGCAGAAUUCAGUGAAUCAUCGAAUCUUUGAACGCACAUUGCGCCCGCCAGUAUUCUGGCGGGCAUGCCUGUUCGAGCGUCAUUUCAACCCUCAAGCCCCCGGGUUUGGUGUUGGGGAUCGGGCUGCGGUUCUACCGCGUCCCGGCCCCGAAAUCUAGUGGCGGUCUCGCUGCAGCCUCCAUUGCGUAGUAGCUAACACCUCGCAACUGGAACGCGGCGCGGCCAAGCCGUUAAACCCCCAACUUCUGAAUGUUGACCUCGGAUCAGGUAGGGAUACCCGCUGAACUUAAGC
rnacentral:misc_RNA from 1 species